GGAGAGAUGUCCGAGAGGUUGAAGGUGACGGUCUCGAAAACCGUUGUACGUUUAUACGUACCGAGGGUUCGAAUCCCUCUCUCUCCG
rnacentral:tRNA from 1 species